GAUGAACGCUGGCGGCGCGCCUAACACAUGCAAGUCGAACGAUUAAAGCACCUUCGGGUGUGUAUAAAGUGGCGAACGGCUGAGUAACACGUGGGCAACCUGCCCCUCUCAUUGGGAUAGCCACGGGAAACCGUGGAUAAUACCUAAUACUUCGGGACUUCCGCAUGGUAGACUCGAGAAAUCUCCGGCGGAGUGGGAGGGGCCCGCGGCCUGUUAGCUUGUUGGUGGGGUAAUGGCCUACCAAGGCAAUGAUGGGUAGCUGGGUUGAGAAACCGACCAGCGAGAAUGGGAAUGAGAGACGGCCCAGACGCGAACGGGAGGCAGAAGUGGGGAAUAUUGAAAAAUGGGAGAAAGCCUGAGGCAGCGAAGCCGCGUGCGGGAUGAAGGCCUUCGGGUUGUAAACCGAUUUCAGCAGGGACGAGGCGAAAGUGACGGUAACUGCAGAAGAAGCCCCGGCUAACUACGUG
rnacentral:rRNA from 1 species